UGGGGAAUAUUGCACAAUGGGCGCAAGCCUGAUGCAGCCAUGCCGCGUGUGUGAAGAAGGUCUUCGGGUUGUAAAGCACUUUCAGCGAGGAGGAAGGUGGUGAACUUAAUACGUUCAUCAAUUGACGUUACUCGCAGAAGAAGCACCGGCUAACUCCGUGCCGGCAGCAGCGGUAAUACGGAGGGUGCAAGCGUUAAUCGGAAUUACUGGGCGUAAAGCGCACGCAGGCGGUUUGUUAAGUCAGAUGUGAAAUCCCCGGGCUCAACCUGGGAACUGCAUUUGAAACUGGCAAGCUAGAGUCUCGUAGAGGGGGGCUAGAAUUCCAGGUGUAGCGGUGAAAUGCGUAGAGAUCUGGAGGAAUACCGGUGGCGAAGGCGGCCCCCUGGA
rnacentral:rRNA from 1 species